AGUCCAUGGUGUGGAUAUUUCCAUAGAAAAUCCCUACAUCUUUCCCACACUUCAUAUAAUGAUUCACCCUCUCGUUGGCAAAAAUUAGUUAUGUCCAUUCUAAAUUU